UACGAAGGGUGCAAGCGUUACUCGGAAUUACUGGGCGUAAAGCGUGCGUAGGUGGUUCGUUAAGUCUGUCGUGAAAGCCCGGGGCUCAACUCCGGAAUUGCCUUUAAGACUGCAUCGCUAGAAUUGUGGAGAGGUAAGUGGAAUUCCGAGUGUAGAGGUGAAAUUCGUAGAUAUUCGGAAGAACACCAGUGGCGAAGGCGACUUACUGGACACAUAUUGACGCUGAGGUGCGAAAGCGUGGGGAGCAAACAGG
rnacentral:rRNA from 1 species